AGGCAUUGAGGCAGCCAGCGCAGGGGCUUCUGCUGAGGGGGCAGGCGGAGCUUGAGGAAACCGCAGAUAAGUUUUUUUCUCUUUGAAAGAUAGAGAUUAAUACAACUACUUAAAAAAUAUAGUCAAUAGGUUACUAAGAUAUUGCUUAGCGUUAAGUUUUUAACGUAAUUUUAAUAGCUUAAGAUUUUAAGAGAAAAUAUGAAGACUUAGAAGAGUAGCAUGAGGAAGGAAAAGAUAAAAGGUUUCUAAAACAUGACGGAGGUUGAGAUGAAGCUUCUUCAUGGAGUAAAAAAUGUAUUUAAAAGAAAAUUGAGAGAAAGGACUACAGAGCCCCGAAUUAAUACCAAUAGAAGGGCAAUGCUUUUAGAUUAAAAUGAAGGUGACUUAAACAGCUUAAAGUUUAGUUUAAAAGUUGUAGGUGAUUAAAAUAAUUUGAAGGCGAUCUUUUAAAAAGAGAUUAAACCGAAGGUGAUUAAAAGACCUUGAAAUCCAUGACGCAGGGAGAAUUGCGUCAUUUAAAGCCUAGUUAACGCAUUUACUAAACGCAGACGAAAAUGGAAAGAUUAAUUGGGAGUGGUAGGAUGAAACAAUUUGGAGAAGAUAGAAGUUUGAAGUGGAAAACUGGAAGACAGAAGUACGGGAAGGCGAAGAAAAGAAUAGAGAAGAUAGGGAAAUUAGAAGAUAAAAACAUACUUUUAGAAGAAAAAAGAUAAAUUUAAACCUGAAAAGUAGGAAGCAGAAGAAAAAAGACAAGCUAGGAAACAAAAAGCUAAGGGCAAAAUGUACAAACUUAGAAGAAAAUUGGAAGAUAGAAACAAGAUAGAAAAUGAAAAUAUUGUCAAGAGUUUCAGAUAGAAAAUGAAAAACAAGCUAAGACAAGUAUUGGAGAAGUAUAGAAGAUAGAAAAAUAUAAAGCCAAAAAUUGGAUAAAAUAGCACUGAAAAAAUGAGGAAAUUAUUGGUAACCAAUUUAUUUUAAAAGCCCAUCAAUUUAAUUUCUGGUGGUGCAGAAGUUAGAAGGUAAAGCUUGAGAAGAUGAGGGUGUUUACGUAGACCAGAACCAAUUUAGAAGAAUACUUGAAGCUAGAAGGGGAAGUUGGUUAAAAAUCACAUCAAAAAGCUACUAAAAGGACUGGUGUAAUUUAAAAAAAACUAAGGCAGAAGGCUUUUGGAAGAGUUAGAAGAAUUUGGAAGGCCUUAAAUAUAGUAGCUUAGUUUGAAAAAUGUGAAGGACUUUCGUAACGGAAGUAAUUCAAGAUCAAGAGUAAUUACCAACUUAAUGUUUUUGCAUUGGACUUUGAGUUAAGAUUAUUUUUUAAAUCCUGAGGACUAGCAUUAAUUGACAGCUGACCCAGGUGCUACACAGAAGUGGAUUCAGUGAAUCUAGGAAGACAGCAGCAGACAGGAUUCCAGGAACCAGUGUUUGAUGAAGCUAGGACUGAGGAGCAAGCGAGCAAGCAGCAGUUCGUGGUGAAGAUAGGAAAAGAGUCCAGGAGCCAGUGCGAUUUGGUGAAGGAAGCUAGGAAGAAGGAAGGAGCGCUAACGAUUUGGUGGUGAAGCUAGGAAAAAGGAUUCCAGGAAGGAGCGAGUGCAAUUUGGUGAUGAAGGUAGCAGGCGGCUUGGCUUGGCAACCACACGGAGGAGGCGAGCAGGCGUUGUGCGUAGAGGAUCCUAGACCAGCAUGCCAGUGUGCCAAGGCCACAGGGAAAGCGAGUGGUUGGUAAAAAUCCGUGAGGUCGGCAAUAUGUUGUUUUUCUGGAACUUACUUAUGUGUAGGAGAAAUACUUUUCCAUUGUUUAACUGCAAAACAAGAUGUUAAGGUAUGCUUCAAAAAUUUUGUAAAUUGUUUAUUUUAAACUUAUCUGUUUGUAAAUUGUAACUGAUUAAGAAUUGUGAUAGUUCAGCUUGAAUGUCUCUUAGAGGGUGGGCUUUUGUUGAUGAGGGAGGGGAAACUUUUUUUUUUUCUAUAGACUUUUUUCAGAUAACAUCUUCUGAGUCAUAACCAGCCUGGCAGUAUGAUGGCCUAGAUGCAGAGAAAACAGCUCCUUGGUGAAUUGAUAAGUAAAGGCAGAAAAGAUUAUAUGUCAUACCUCCAUUGGGGAAUAAGCAUAACCCUGAGAUUCUUACUACUGAUGAGAACAUUAUCUGCAUAUGCCAAAAAAUUUUAAGCAAAUGAAAGCUACCAAUUUAAAGUUACGGAAUCUACCAUUUUAAAGUUAAUUGCUUGUCAAGCUAUAACCACAAAAAUAAUGAAUUGAUGAGAAAUACAAUGAAGAGGCAAUGUCCAUCUCAAAAUACUGCUUUUACAAAAGCAGAAUAAAAGCGAAAA
rnacentral:lncRNA from 1 species